UUUUAAGAUACAUAAACUGGUCUUAUAUUCUAAUAACAACAUAUCUAGUGUAAUUCACAAGUGGGGUAUGAGGAUGGUAAUGCAAACCUAUCUCUACCUUUUGGGAUAGAGAGGCUAUUUCCGAUAGACCAUGUGCCCUUUAUCCCACACACAUAAAAAGACUUGAAAAAAGAUUCAAAGCAACAAAGCAAUCCAUGAUAAAAAGUUAAAAUUACAGACACCUUAGAACUUUUGAAAAAAGUCAUAUAUGUG
rnacentral:misc_RNA from 1 species